rnacentral:rRNA from 1 species
AACGAACGCUGGCGGCAUGCCUAACACAUGCAAGUCGAACGAGACCUUCGGGUCUAGUGGCGCACGGGUGUGUAACGCGUGGGAACCUGCCCUUAGGUUCGGAAUAACUCCCCGAAAGGGGUGCUAAUACCGGAUAAUGUCUUCGGACCAAAGAUUUAUCGCCUUUGGAUGGGCCCGCGUUGGAUUAGCUAGUUGGUAGGGUAAAAGCCUACCAAGGCGACGAUCCAUAGCUGGUCUGAGAGGAUGAUCAGCCACACUGGGACUGAGACACGGCCCAGACUCCUACGGGAGGCAGCAGUGGGGAAUAUUGGACAAUGGGCGAAAGCCUGAUCCAGCAAUGCCGCGUGAGUGAUGAAGGCCUUAGGGUUGUAAAGCUCCUUUACCCGGGAUGAUAAUGACAGUACCGGGAGAAUAAGCUCCGGCUAACUCCGUG